UAAUACAUGCAAGUCGAGCGAAUGGAUUAAGAGCUUGCUCUUAUGAAGUUAGCGGCGGACGGGUGAGUAACACGUGGGUAACCUGCCCAUAAGACUGGGAUAACUCCGGGAAACCGGGGCUAAUACCGGAUAACAUUUUGCACCGCAUGGUGCGAAAUUGAAAGGCGGCUUCGGCUGUCACUUAUGGAUGGACCCGCGUCGCAUUAGCUAGUUGGUGAGGUAACGGCUCACCAAGGCAACGAUGCGUAGCCGACCUGAGAGGGUGAUCGGCCACACUGGGACUGAGACACGGCCCAGACUCCUACGGGAGGCAGCAGUAGGGAAUCUUCCGCAAUGGACGAAAGUCUGACGGAGCAACGCCGCGUGAGUGAUGAAGGCUUUCGGGUCGUAAAACUCUGUUGUUAGGGAAGAACAAGUGCUAGUUGAAUAAGCUGGCACCUUGACGGUACCUAACCAGAAAGCCACGGCUAACUACGUGCCAGCAGCCGCGGUAAUACGUAGGUGGCAAGCGUUAUCCGGAAUUAUUGGGCGUAAAGCGCGCGCAGGUGGUUUCUUAAGUCUGAUGUGAAAGCCCACGGCUCAACCGUGGAGGGUCAUUGGAAACUGGGAGACUUGAGUGCAGAAGAGGAAAGUGGAAUUCCAUGUGUAGCGGUGAAAUGCGUAGAGAUAUGGAGGAACACCAGUGGCGAAGGCGACUUUCUGGUCUGUAACUGACACUGAGGCGCGAAAGCGUGGGGAGCAAACAGGAUUAGA
rnacentral:rRNA from 1 species